rnacentral:rRNA from 1 species
UGUCAGUGAGCAAUCACCGCUGUGAAGGUGCUGCAUGGUUGUCGUCAGCUCGUGCCGUGAGGUGUCGGCUUAAGUGCCAUAACGAGCGCAACCCUUAUCUUUAGUUACUAACAGGUUAUGCUGAGGACUCUAGAGAGACUGCCGUCGUAAGAUGUGAGGAAGGUGGGGAUGACGUCAAAUCAGCACGGCCCUUACGUCCGGGGCUACACACGUGUUACAAUGGGGGGUACAGAAGGCAGCUAGCGGGUGACCGUAUGCUAAUCCCAAAAUCCUCUCUCAGUUCGGAUCGAAGUCUGCAACCCGACUUCGUGAAGCUGGAUUCGCUAGUAAUCGCGCAUCAGCCACGGCGCGGUGAAUACGUUCCCGGGUCUUGUACACACCG